CUUUAUAAUGUGCCAACAUAAUGUACAUGUUACAUGUUUUCACUUUUCUAUUAGAGCAUACACAUAGAAGAAGGGGACAUCGAUCUAUAGUUUUGUUCAAUUAACUAACUAAUUAAAAUUUAAAAAGGAGGGAUUUUGUACAUAAAAAAGUAAAAUAACAAAAAUACUGGACUUCGAGGUAAAUUCAAAAUCAAAUGACAAUUGCAAAAGCUCAAACACAUCAAACGAAUGAAUAACAACUGUCAUUUGCCGGCAUUUCAUUAUGUAGAAAAUGGUGGAUUAAACCUGGAUUGAUAGCUAGCUAAACGUUUCACUUGUAUGAUAGUCGCAUAAAAUUUCAUUAUAUUGACAACAAUGUGUGAACAAAACAAACAGACAUAAAAGGCAAAAAAUAAAAAAAAAUAAAAAAUAAAAUAAAUGGGGUACACCAUUAAAGUAUUUAUUGAAGACAAACACAUAUCACGGCACUAUCAACUAAUAAUUUAUAGGUUAUGCUUAUGUACAAAAUGUAUAUACUGAUAUCUUUUUGCCCUGCAUUGUAAUUGUAAAAUACGGAAACAUUACAGUCCUUUAGAAAACCUCGUGGCAAAUGUACAUCUGAAACAUAGAUCUUUCAAACUGUUCCAGCCAGAAAUGAUAUAUUAUAGCCCUCAGAAAGGCAGAUAAUAUGAAGUGUCUAAUUGUUAUGUUCAACGUUUGUAUUAGGUUUUUGCAUUAUUAUUUUGCUUUGACCA
rnacentral:lncRNA from 1 species